rnacentral:rRNA from 1 species
AUACGGAGGAUGCAAGCGUUAUCCGGAUUUAUUGGGUUUAAAGGGUGCGUAGGCGGACAGUCAAGCAGGGGGUGAAAUGCCGGCGCUCAACGCCGGAGCUGCCUUCUGAACUGGCUGUCUGGAGUGGCAGUGCCGUUGGAGGAAUGAGUGGUGUAGCGGUGAAAUGCUUAGAUAUCACUCUGAACACCGAUUGCGAAGGCAUUUGACGAAAGGCCCGCUGUCGCUGUGGCACGAACGGCAGGGGAUCAAUCAGGAUUAGAUACCCUGUUAGUCCUCGAAGUAAACGAUGAUGCCUAACUGCCGGCCCGUUGCGUGUCGGUGGCCAAGCGAAAGCGAUAAGGCAUCCACCUGGGGAGUACGACAGCAAGGUUGAAACUCAAAUGAAUUGACGGGG